CAGUCGCUGCGUUUUGUUUCUUUUUGUAAUAAUCUAAUCUCAGAUAAGAAGAGACUUUGCAUCUCUUCUCAUCUUGCUUCGCAUACGAGUACACGACAAUCUUGAAUCUAUAUUCUUCUUUCCACAUCUUCGAAUUAAAACCCUAACCCUUCUCUCUCUCUCUUUCUCUGCAAUCCAUGGAGGCUAUCGAUUCCAACCCUAACCCUACGCCUCCGCUUCCUUCAUCAGAGACCCUGAAUUCAUACGAUCCAUCCUUGCAUCUUCACAAUUCCGAACCUCACUAUUCAGAUGCUGCCAACACUACUGACCCUGGCCACCCGAACACAUCGGAGAACGGCCAGGCAGCCGUCGGUGCUGAUGUGAAUUACCCGCCUCAGGUCGCCAAACCUUUGAUAUCCGAGAACGGGUUGACCGGUACCACCACCCGCAGUGGCACCGACAAGGACCAAUCCGGCGGCGAGGAAGAGACAACCAGCAGGCGCCGACGUAGGAGCCGGUGGGACCCGCAGCCUGAUUCCAACGACCAGAGCAACAGCUGUGGCGGUGGCGAUGCCGAUUCUGGCACCAAAGUGAGGAAGAGGAAGUCGCGGUGGGCUGAUGACGAUCCGAAGCCAGUGAUUCAGCUUCCUGAUUUCAUGGGAGGUAUUGAAUUCGAUCCUGAGAUUCAAGCUUUGAAUAGUAGGCUACUUGAGAUUAGUAGAAUGUUGCAAUCGGGUUUGCCUUUAGAUGAUCGCCCUGAAGGUGCUCGAUCCCCUUCACCUGAACCUAUAUAUGAUAACAUGGGAAUUAGGAUUAACACUAGGGAGUAUCGUGCUCGUGAGAGAUUGCAGAAGGAGAGGCAGGAGAUUAUAUCUCAGAUUAUUAAGAAAAACCCUGCCUUUAAGCCUCCAGCUGAUUAUAGGCCUCCAAAGCUUCAGAAGAAGCUCUUUAUACCGAUGAAAGAAUACCCUGGUUACAAUUUCAUAGGACUGAUUAUUGGCCCUAGAGGUAACACGCAGAAGCGGAUGGAGAAAGAAACUGGUGCUAAAAUUGUGAUUCGGGGUAAAGGAUCAGUGAAAGAAGGUAGGCUGCAACAGAAGAGGGAUUUAAAACCUGAUCCUUCGGAGAAUGAGGAUUUGCAUGUUUUAGUGGAGGCAGAGACACAGGAAUCGCUUGAUGCUGCUGCGGGUAUGGUGGAGAAGCUCUUGCAACCUGUGGAUGAGGUAUUGAAUGAGCACAAGAGGCAACAGCUUAGGGAACUUGCAGCCUUAAAUGGGACGAUUAGGGACGAAGAGUAUUGUCGAUUGUGUGGUGAACCUGGUCAUCGUCAAUAUGCUUGUCCUACAAGGACUUCAACAUUUAAGAGCGAGGUUGUCUGUAAGCAUUGUGGCGAUGGUGGACAUCCAAGCAUCGAUUGCCCGGUAAAGGGUGCUACUGGGAAGAAGAUGGAUGAUGAGUAUCAGAACUUCCUGGCAGAGUUGGGAGGUACUGUUCCUGAAUCUGCAACAAAGCAAACUCCUACGCUGGCGAUUGGUCCCGGCAACUCUGCAAGUAAUCCCCCUUGGGCAAACAACAGUGCUGCUUCAACUGGUGGUAGUACAGCACACCCUGGCUUAGGUUCUGCUACGAUUAAAAAGGAAAUUGAUGAUACAAAUUUGUACAUUGGGUAUUUGCCACCCACUCUUGAUGAUGAUGGUCUGAUCCAACUGUUUCAACAAUUUGGUGAGAUUGUUAUGGCCAAAGUUAUCAAGGAUCGAGUGUCAGGUUUAAGUAAAGGAUAUGGAUUUGUGAAGUAUGCUGAUAUUCAAAUGGCAAAUAAUGCAAUUUCGGCCAUGAAUGGUCAUCGCCUUGAGGGCCGAACCAUUGCUGUGAGAGUUGCUGGUAAGCCUCCUCAGCCUGUUGUACCUCCUGGUCCUCCAGCAUCUUCUGUGCCCACUUAUCCUGUUCCAAGCCAGCCACUUGGUGCCUAUCCAUCCCAGCAAUAUGCUGCUGGUGGUCCAAUUGGUAGUGCGCCCCCUCCAAGUUAUGGUGGUACCCCUGUUCCGUGGGGUCCUCCUGCUCCUCCUCCUCCUCCAUAUGCUGCUUAUGCGCCACCUCCUCCUGGGUCAACAAUGUAUCCUCCUAUGCAAGGCCAGCCUCUGCCUCCCUAUGGUGUUCAAUAUCCGCCUGUCCAGACAGGCCCUCCUGGUGCCACAUCCCAACCUGCAUCCAGCAGUGAAGUUCAGCAGAGUUACCCUCCUGGAGUGCAGUCUGACAAUAGUACCACUACUCAGUCUGUACCCUCUAUAUAUGGGAACUCGGUGCCUUCAAUGCCUCCACCACCUCAACCUACUUACCCUGCAUCAUAUGGUUAUCCUCCAUACUACAAUGCAGUUCCUCCACCACCUCCCCCUUCUGCGCCUGGUCCUCCCUCUACUUCAGACCAGUCCCACAUUGGGAAUGUGCCUUGGGCCAGUAAUCCUCCGGUACCACCUCCUGCUUCAUCUGCAGAAAAGACAACAUAUGGUGCAGAUCAAUCACAGGGAAUAGGCAAUGUGCCUUGGGCCACAAAUCCACCAAUUCCUCCGCCUGCUUCAUCGGCUGCAGAUUCAGAGUAUGAGAAGUUCAUGGCAGAGAUGAAAUGAUCUAGUUUUGUUGGAAUUGAUUUCCAAAGGGCCCUUACAGAGGGAUGGGCAAACUGGUAUGAUUUUGCCUGAUGUUUCUUGGAGCUCUAACCUCUUGCCAUGUCUUUCUUCGAAGUAUGGGACUCACUUUAACCUUGCUGUGUACUCUUAUGAACUUUGCAGAGUUUUGGGCUAGAAGUUGAGAAAAGUCUUCAUACAGUAGACACAACAUCAGAGCUUAUUAUUGUCAUGAUUAUUAUUAAUCUCUUUUUGUUGUGUAGGACUUAACACCGUCUUAAUUAUUUUCUUUUGGUAUUUUAUUGAUUUAUACAUUAAUGUCUGGUUUCUAAUGUCUCAUUCUGAAAGUUUGUCCGAACUUCUAUGGCAGCUGGUUCCUGGUGUUUCAUUGAUAAAUUUGUUUUGUCAUUCUCGGUUUAUUGAGUUCAUUCAGAGCUGAUUCUGAGUUCUGACUUGUAGUUUUUAUGAUGAGCCUAAAUCAUUUGUUUUUGAUGGCCCUAAGUCUCAUAAUUGCUUGGUGCUGAAGCUGCCUUUUAGAUGCCUUUUAUCAUACACCUCCUUCCUGAAGGUAAAUCAUGCCUUGUCAUUUCAUUUUGGGCAUAUUUCGGGUUGGUUUACAAGAUAAUUUAAAAAAAAUGUAUAUAUUUAACAGUUGCAGUGUGGCAGGUAAAAGAUUUCAAACAUUUUUUAGGUUUUUGGCAUGAUGAAUGUCAAAAUUUGGUGUCCUUUACACAUUUCUCCUCAAUUGAACUUAAGCUGACACGGUGUUAUGAACACCAAGUUCUUGUAUGAUGAUGAUACAGGCAAGUAUGAAGUUUCCCAUUUGUUCUGAGGUGAUCAUUCAUAUGGUCCUCUGAGGAGGGCAAAUAUUGUUGGGCAUAAGAUGGAGGCUGAGAUGAAAUUGAUUGUUGGUAGGGUUUUGAGUCGUUUUCACAUGCUUCAUUUAGCUGUGUUGCUGGGUGAAGAUAGAUAUAGUAGAUAAUCAUAGUAUUGUAGAAAACUCCUUUAUCUGUUCUUUUUGGAUUAAAAUGAACAAUUGAAUUGUAAUGCCGCUGGGAAAUAAAGCUUUAUGGUCGCCAACAAUUAAAUGUUAAA